rnacentral:tRNA from 2 species
AGCCAUUUAGCUCAUUGGUAGAGCAGCUGGCAUGUAUCCAGAAGGUUCCAGGUUCAAUCCCUGGUUUGGUUA